rnacentral:rRNA from 1 species
UACGGGGGGGGCAAGCGUUGUUCGGAAUUACUGGGCGUAAAGGGCUCGUAGGCGGCCAACUAAGUCAGACGUGAAAUCCCCCGGCUUAACCAGGGAACUGCGUCUGAUACUGGAUGGCUUGAGUUUGGGAGAGGGGUGCGGAAUUCCUGGUGUAGCGGUGAAAUGCGUAGAUAUCAGGAGGAACACCUGUGGUGUAGACGGCUUACUGGACCAUGACUGACGCUGAGGCACGAAAGCGUGGGGAGCAAACAGG